GAUGUAGCACAGUGGUAGAGUGCUUGUUUAGCAUGCAUGAGGUCCUAGGUUCAAUUCCUAGUAUC
rnacentral:tRNA from 1 species